GAAGCUGACAUCUUGAGAUCAGUUCAAUGAGACUCUCACUGAGAAGACACUGAUGGAGCACUGCUGUUUUUAAAUAUGAAACAUCUCCUCACCCGCCACCAUCGAAAAAGAAACGCAAAGGACAACAGCUUCACUGCAAAGCUAAGGAGUAUGGCAUAUCAGUAUUUACUGUGGAACAAAACAGAGGCAAUCUCCUAAAUAGAGGCAUGAGAACAUAGUGGAGCUGUAACUGAAGGAGGAUGAAAACAGGCAUUCAGCUGCAGUUUGACUAUAUACUUUGAAACAAUUCUGAAGGAGACCCCAACUGAAGCACCUCGAAAGAGAGCAGCCAAUCUGCAGUAGCCUCAACUUUUCUCUUUCUGAACCAGUCUUUUUUUGUACAGUUCAGUUGGCCACAGGAUAAAUUCACUGAACCCAGAGAAGUAAACAAGUGUUCAUUGUUGUUCAAGAGCCACUGUCUGUAUGACCACCUCCUGCUGGACUGGGGUUCCAAUAAUUCAUCUCAUCUCUCGAGUUGUCAACUGAUCCGCUUAACAUUUUCUGUUCAUCUUUACUGUCUACAGUCUAGAUGUGGAAGUUCACUACUGACAUAAGAAAUGUAAAACUGAGUGCAGUGCUGUGGCCUAUGUUAAAACAUUGAAGAAUCUCAAGAUUCCAGGUGUUGCACCAGCAUGUGUUGUUUAUAAAAAGUGAUAUGACAAAUUGAAUAUAAGAUGGCAACACCAUUAAUCCCAAAUAGAAUCUCCAACCAUCCCCUAAUACUCCAUUCCUAAAUAAAUAAAAAUUGUAGUUUCCCAGAAAUGAUUAAUUUAAGCAAAGUGUGAAGCAAAUCAGUGAGUUCAAUGUGAAUUUGGUUUCCAGCUAAAAAAAGAACCAAAAUAAGUAAAAUCCAGAUGAGUCAAAUCCCAGGAGAUCCGCCCACAAAUUCAUGUUAAGCGGAGGUUUGAUAGCUGAGGAAGCCCCAUUCCCACAUGAAUGCAUCUGCAUGCAACCCGUUAUGCCUUGGUCAAAAACAACAGAUUCAAAUGAAAACAUAAAGUGGUAAAUGUAUGAAUAAGUCUUCAUUCUAUCUGUUCACACCUUAUAAUAGCCCCAGCCUGUAAAAGUCUGGAACAUUGCAUUGAAAAAUGGGAACAACUCCGUAAUCGUUUUCUGUUCGGGCGAGCAUUCAUUGAUUGGACUCCUUGAUUGAAGGACGCUUUGUAUCUACGAUUGCAUCAUGUCAUGCAUCAUACCACAAAGUCUACUCCACGUAAGUUUCCACACUGGAUCCCGCAGGCGAGGGAAAAGUGCCUCGUCUUCAGGUUGAUUGACCUCACCCUGCUCUUCCUUGUUCUCGACAUCAUGUGCAGUCGUAACCUGUUUGAACCCCAUCUCCCACCAACAACACAACUUUCUCACAGGUUUAGCCACACUCACAGGCUUUGCAUGUCCUUUCAUAGGGAGAUCUCAAUGUCAAAUGAUGGCUUGCCCAUCUUUUCAUGAUUUUGCAUGCUUGUGCUGUCUAACUGUAUUAUAAUGUAUGGAAGAAACUGGUAACUAUAGUUGACCUUCUAGCUCCUGUCUUUGUUUCAUUGAAUCCUUUGUUAAAAACGUCAACUCACUUGCAGCAAGUGUUUAUAACCCUACACGCCAAGUUUGAUCAAUGACAGCAAAUAUAAACUGCUAAAAUCUAAA